rnacentral:rRNA from 1 species
UACGUAGGGUGCAAGCGUUGUCCGGAAUUACUGGGCGUAAAGAGCUCGUAGGCGGCUUGUCACGUCGGGUGUGAAAUCCCGGGGCUUAACCCCGGGCGUGCAGUGGAUACGGGCGGGCUGGAGGCAGGCAGGGGAGAACGGAAUUCCUGGUGUAGCGGUGAAAUGCGCAGAUAUCAGGAGGAACACCGGUGGCGAAGGCGGUUCUCUGGGCCUGUUCUGACGCUGAGGAGCGAAAGCGUGGGGAGCGAACAGG